GUGCUUGCCUUGGCAGCACAUAUAUUAAAAUUGGAACAACAUAGCAAAGUUUAACUUGGAACCUGAGCAAGAAUUACAGGCAAAUUUGUGAAUUGUUCCAUAUUCAU